rnacentral:rRNA from 5 species
UGCAGUCGAGCGGGGAAGAGUAGCUUGCUACUUUACCUAGCGGCGGACGGGUGAGUAAUGCUUAGGAAUCUGCCUAUUAGUGGGGGACAACAUCUCGAAAGGGAUGCUAAUACCGCAUACGUCCUACGGGAGAAAGCAGGGGACCUUCGGGCCUUGCGCUAAUAGAUGAGCCUAAGUCGGAUUAGCUAGUUGGUGGGGUAAAGGCCUACCAAGGCGACGAUCUGUAGCGGGUCUGAGAGGAUGAUCCGCCACACUGGGACUGAGACACGGCCCAGACUCCUACGGGAGGCAGCAGUGGGGAAUAUUGGACAAUGGGGGGAACCCUGAUCCAGCCAUGCCGCGUGUGUGAAGAAGGCCUUUUGGUUGUAAAGCACUUUAAGCGAGGAGGAGGCUACCGAGAUUAAUACUCUUGGAUAGUGGACGUUACUCGCAGAAUAAGCACCGGCUAACUCUGUGCCAGCAGCCGCGGUAAUACAGAGGGUGCAAGCGUUAAUCGGAUUUACUGGGCGUAAAGCGCGCGUAGGUGGCCAAUUAAGUCAAAUGUGAAAUCCCCGAGCUUAACUUGGGAAUUGCAUUCGAUACUGGUUGGCUAGAGUAUGGGAGAGGAUGGUAGAAUUCCAGGUGUAGCGGUGAAAUGCGUAGAGAUCUGGAGGAAUACCGAUGGCGAAGGCAGCCAUCUGGCCUAAUACUGACACUGAGGUGCGAAAGCAUGGGGAGCAAACAGGAUUAGAUACCCUGGUAGUCCAUGCCGUAAACGAUGUCUACUA